ACACGACUACAUUAGAUACCCGGGUAGUCCUAGCCGUAAACGAUACUCGCUAGGUGUCGGCCACGGUGCGACCGUUGUCGGUGCCGUAGGGAAGCCGUGAAGCGAGCCACCUGGGAAGUACGGCCGCAAGGCUGAAACUUAAAGGAAUUGGCGGGGGAGCACAACAACGGGUGGGAGCUUGCGGUUUAAUUGGAUUCAACGCCGGAAAUCUUACCGGGACCGACAGCAACAUGAAGGCCAAGCUGAAGACUUUGCCGGAUUAGCUG
rnacentral:rRNA from 1 species